AUAACAAUAUAAUAGGUAGAGCAUGAGACUCUUAAUCUCAGGAUCCUGGGUUCGAAUCCCAUGUUGGGUGAA